rnacentral:lncRNA from 1 species
AUCCAAAUUUCAUGAAACUUAAUAUAGUUGUUUCUUAUGAUGGUCAAAUGAUCUGUAUACUUUUUGGUGAAAAUAAGAUUUAAACUUUUUGAGUUACGACACUUUAUAACUCAAACAGGGGUGUGUUUUUUUCACAUGUCGCACUGUAUCUCAAAAACGAUUCUUGAUUAUGACUUAAAACUUUAAACACUUCUUAGUUAUAUUAAUCUCAAUAUAUGUAUACUUUUUGGUGAUGAUUCAAAAUUUCAUUUUUGAGUUAUUGAGUAUUUUGUAAAAAAGGGGGAGGUUUUUUUUACAUGUCGCGCC